GUGGGGAAUAUUGGACAAUGGGGGGAACCCUGAUCCAGCCAUGCCGCGUGUGUGAAGAAGGCCUUUUGGUUGUAAAGCACUUUAAGCGAGGAGGAGGCUACCGAGAUUAAUACUCUUGGAUAGUGGACGUUACUCGCAGAAUAAGCACCGGCUAACUCUGUGCCAGCAGCCGCGGUAAUACAGAGGGUGCAAGCGUUAAUCGGAUUUACUGGGCGUAUAGCGCGCGUAGGUGGCCAAUUAAGUCAAAUGUGAAAUCACCGAGCUUAACUUGGGAAUGGCAUUCGAUACUGGUUGGCUAGAGUAUGGGAGAGGAUGGUAGAAUUCCAGGUGUAGCGGUGAAAUGCGUAGAGAUCUGGAGGAAUACCGAUGGCGAAGGCAGCCAUCUGGCCUAAUACUGACACUGAGGUGCGAAAGCAUGGGGAGCAAACAGGAUUAGAAACCCCUGUAGUCC
rnacentral:rRNA from 1 species